rnacentral:rRNA from 1 species
CCUACGGGUGUCAGCAGUAGGGAAUUUUGCGCAAUGGGCAAAAGCCUGACGCAGCAACACCGCGUGAAUGUUAAGCCCUUCGGGGUGUAAAGUUCUGUCAAUAGGGACGAAUUUUGACGGUACCUAUAAAGGAAGCACCGGCUAACUCCGUGCAAGCAGCCGCGGUAAUACGGGGGGUGCAAGCGUUGUCCGGAAACAUUGGGCGUAAAGCGUUCGUAGGUGGCAAGGUAAGUCUGAUGAUAAAGACCGGGGCUCAACUCCGGGUCGGCAUUGGAUACUGUCUAUCUAGAAUGUGGUAGUGGUAAAGGGAAUUGCUGGUGUAGCGGUGAAAUGCGUAGAUAUCAGGAGGAACAUCGGUGGCGAAAGCGCUUUACUGGACCAUUAUUGACGCUGAGGAACGAAAGCCAGGGGAGCAAAUGGGAUUAGAUACCCCUGUAGUC